rnacentral:rRNA from 1 species
CCUACGGGUGGCAGCAGUCGAGAAUCAUUCACAAUGGGGGAAACCCUGAUGGUGCGACGCCGCGUGGGGGAAUGAAGGUCUUCGGAUUGUAAACCCCUGUCAUGUGGGAGCAAAUUAAAAAGAUAGUACCACAAGAGGAAGAGACGGCUAACUCUGUGCCAACAGCCGCGGGAAUACAGAGGUCUCAAGCGUUGUUCGGAAUCACUGGGCGUAAAGCGUGCGUAGGCUGUUUCGUAAGUCGUGUGUGAAAGGCGCGGGCUCAACCCGCGGACGGCACAUGAUACUGCGAGGCUAGAGUAAUGGAGGGGGAACCGGAAUUCUCGGUGUAGCAGUGAAAUGCGUAGAUAUCGAGAGGAACACUCGUGGCGAAGGCAGGUUCCUGGACAUUAACUGACGCUGAGGCACGAAGGCCAGGGGAGCGAAAGGGAUUAGAUACCCCAGUAGUC